rnacentral:lncRNA from 1 species
AUGUAACUCCAUGCAUAUAACAUAAUAAAAGAAAUAAAACUAAAUGAAUCCCCAAAACUACUACCUUCUCAUCUCCCAAAACUGCUCCUCUCUCACCUCCCAAAUACAAAAUAGUGGUAUGCAUGUAAUAAAAGCUAGCAAUGACCUCUUAGUUAUCAAACUUCAAAUAAAUAAUGGUAUGCAUGUAAUAAAAGCCAAGACCUCUUGGUUAUUAAAGCUUCGUUGAUAGCCUAAAGGAGGAUAGAAAGCUUUGCUUUAGAAAGUGAGUCUUUUUAUUAUUAUCAUAGCCAAUAGCAUCCCAAAAUUCCUGAACUCUUCCUAAUUUUAUUUAUUUAUAUAAAAGGAAAGAGACUGUUCUUGGUCUAAGGCCCUCUUUUAUCCUCUUUCGAGAAGACCAUAGAUGAUAUUAGGAGAUUUUUUCGAUACAGAAUGGCAAAAUGGAGUCAUCGGAUAAAACUUUCGAAUUGUCUAAUUGAAGCUGCUAAUGCAGAUUCCUCUCCUUCUAUGUCGGAUGAAUAUGUAUUAUUUCUCUCUCUCUUUUUUUUUUAUUGCAUAUUACUGUUCAUGAAUAAGUCAUUUGAGUUAAACAAAAUUGAUGGAGUAAAAUUAUAAAAAAAACUGAUUAAAUUAGUAUUUACAUCAACAAACUAACAUAAUAUAUAGAUUGUUAGCUUAUAGAUAUAUGAAAAGUGGGCUUUUACAAUUUAACGGUAGUUAAAAACUAACUAUUAUUAUUUUUAAAUUUAUUUGUAUGACUAUCAUAUAUUCCUUCAUAUUUUUUCUUUUAUUUUUUUACAUUUCGUGCUAAUUCUUUGAUGGCAUGACAAUUUGAAUGUCCAUAACAAAUGCAAUAAUAAUUAAUUUUUAAGAGAAAUCUAAUUUGAAUUAGAAAAGAUAAUAGGAUUGAUAAAUAUCUUUAUAUGAUUAGUUAAGUGUGAAUUUGAACCUCUUUAGUUUUUUUUUAUUAUUUAUUACCCUUCAUAAUAUUUUAAAUAUUUUUUCUAUUUUUUUUUAACGUUUUUAUUUGUUUGUUAAAUCUAUACACUAUAAAUUUUUACUAAAAAAUUUCUACCCGCCGCGUCCCGCGCGGGUCCUACGCUAGUAAUAAUAAUUUG